CCUACCAUGAGGUAGCUUCCGUACAUAUGUUUUUUCUCUCUGCUGAUGUCUAUCCUAGGAAAGAUCUUGUCAAGAGAGGACUUACUGAGCCCAGUCAGGCACUGCCUGAAGUGACUUUGACUUGCAUCUAUCCGAGUCCCUGGGAGGUUGGUAAUCCCUGGUGGAUGGUGGGACUAUGAAAAUGGAGCUUAUCAGGCUGCCCUGCAAGUCAUCAGACAGCGCAAACCAGUCUGCGCCCGAAGGUCUAAUAUUUUCUCCUCUGGAAACAGGAAGUAAUAUCUGCAUUUAUUUAUGAAGGAGGGAUCUGCACUACUUGAAGGUAAGUUUUGUUUUCUGCUGUUGAUUUCAUGACAGACAGCAACAUUUUAUCCAUGUCAAUAGAAAACUUAAAAUAACUUCCACAUUUAUUAGCUAUUGCCAAACUCCCUUGGUGUACAUUUUUAACAUAACUUCCAGUCCCUGGUGCUACCUCACACUUCAUGUGUUUCCAGGCUAGAAUCAAAUAACCAUUGAUUUCCUGAGCAGGCAUGAAUUUUGUCUCAGGAGUUGUUGCUCUGCCCGAGCCUCCCUUUCUUGUUCUACAUCUGUGCAAAGACAACAUCAAGUAGGUGUGGUGGGAACAUUACCUCCUGCUACCCUGUCCAGUGGCCCAUUAAAAGGUGUGGGGGAACUUGGGAAUCCAGCAGAGUUUACAGCUAUAUAUGAAAAGUUAGGGCAAGAAAGGAUUUGAGGAAUGUAUGUUAACUAGAUCCAGCUGAAGAAGUAGAAACUAGGAAUUUCAGUCGUGGCUGAUGUUAGCAGUACCCAUGAAGUACUUCAUAAGCACAGGAAUACAGCCACAAGCCAUACAGGAUUAGCACGCAGGCAAGAUGAGUCAGUGAAGAUCAGUCAGAGAUGCAGUGAAAGGAGACUGAAGUAGGGGUGAAGGAACUUGGCGGGCAGGACCAAAACUAUACUAAUAGAAAGAUGAGGGAAACUGAAAGAGGGAACCGAGUUAGUAAGACAGAAACCACCUCUCUAAGAAAAAAUGCUACACCCUUGUGAUCUUCAGGGUUAGUGGGACUACUACAGCACCUAGACUGGUCUCAGAGUCAACUUGACCUUGCUUGUAAGUAGACAGGGCUCUGGACAAACACAAGACAUUAGAGAACUGUCAGGGAGUGCCAGGAACGGGGCUAU
rnacentral:lncRNA from 1 species